CAUUAAACCAAGGACAGUUUUGGAAAAUCCAUUUUAUCUUCUUCUUUCCCUGCUCAUUGUGGUGCGUUCCCUCUCCCUACGAACCUCUUCUCUCUUCUCUCACAUCACCUCCAAUCGGCAAGUUCUCCUCUGAUUUUUCACCAUUGACUGAAGCAAAUUGAUAUAGUUUUUCUUUUGAUGGCUAUGGGUAUUAAAAAGAAAAAGUGAAAAAAAUGUCUAGAAACUCUUCUAAUUUCAAUUAGACACAAUUGAAAAGAAAGGGUGGUUAGUUGUUUUGGUUGUGAUAUUGUUGUUAGUGUUGUGUGGUAUUGUUUAGAUAGAAUUUUUUUCAGCUUUUGAGAGUUUUAUGAGCUGCAUUUGCUGUG